GGACGCCAGUCUGCAUGGAGCCGGCCUUGAAAUACCACCCUUUAAUGUUUGAUGUUCUAACGUGGACCCGUGAUCCGGGUUGCGGACAGUGUCUGGUGGGUAGUUUGACUGGGGCGGUCUCCUCCUAAAGAGUAACGGAGGAGCACGAAGGUUGGCUAAUCCUGGUCGGACAUCAGGAGGUUAGUGCAAUGGCAUAAGCCAGCUUGACUGCGAGCGUGACGGCGCGAGCAGGUGCGAAAGCAGGUCAUAGUGAUCCGGUGGUUCUGAAUGGAAGGGCCAUCGCUCAACGGAUAAAAGGUACUCCGGGGAUAACAGGCUGAUACCGCCCAAGAGUUCAUAUCGACGGCGGUGUUUGGCACCUCGAUGUCGGCUCAUCACAUCCUGGGGCUGAAGUAGGUCCCAAGGGUAUGGCUGUUCGCCAUUUAAAGUGGUACGCGAGCUGGGUUUAGAACGUCGUGAGACAGUUCGGUCCCUAUCUGCCGUGGGCGCUGGAGAACUGAGGGGGGCUGCUCCUAGUACGAGAGGACCGGAGUGGACGCAUCACUGGUGUUCGGGUUGUCAUGCCAAUGGCACUGCCCGGUAGCUAAAUGCGGAAGAGAUAAGUGCUGAAAGCAUCUAAGCACGAAACUUGCCCCGAGAUGAGUUCUCCCUGACCCUUUAAGGGUCCUGAAGGAACGUUGAAGACGACGACGUUGAUAGGCCGGGUGUGUAAGCGCAGCGAUGCGUUGAGCUAACCGGUACUAAUGAACCGUGAGG
rnacentral:rRNA from 1 species